GUCGGGCCCAGCCGCCGUCGCCGCCGCUCCGGUAGCGAGUUGGAAGAAUCCAGGGAUUUCAAGCCUUGAAUAACAGGCGUCUUACAAAAUCACCACAGCUAAACUGAAAAGGCAGAUGCAUCUCAGAGUACCUGAUUGAGUGAGCUGGUGUGUGCACUGCAUGUACAUGAAAACGCACAUGUUUUUGUCCUCAUAUAGACUUACUCUUGCAUAUUCCUGAGAGCUUUGCAGUUGAUGAAAAUUAAUUUGAGAACCAGAUGGAGCACCUUUACAGCACAGGAAUCAGUAACCCAUGGAAAGACACCUGCCAGUAAUGUUCAGCUUUCCACAUGGUCUUCACAGGUGAAAACAGUUUGCAAGAAGAGGAAGAAAAAACACCCUCUGCACAGAAAAAGCCUAACAAAUACCUCCACAAUCUAAAUCAAUAGCUGUGAGGGAAACGAGAAGAAUACAGAGGGUAGAGGAAGCUGACUUUGUUAUUGCAGAGGAAUAAUGUAUGGUCUUUGGCACGUUUUGCUUUGGGCUCAAUAGGUUGUGAAUGGACUAAUAAAUCAUGACCACAUGUUGAGUAAUGAUGACUGGAAGUAAAUAAGUUGAGGAACUAUGGGAAAACUCUGGGCAUUGAACUGAGCAAACCUCAUCGUCCUUCUUGAGUUAACCAGGUCAUCAAACUGAUGCAUAUUCUUUCUCCCUCUCCUUUUUCCUCUUUUCACUUAGUGUGGUAUAAAUACUAAUUAAUUGAGCUCAUAAAUGUUAUUCAAAUAAAACGAUUGGAAUACUUCAUAUGUUUCCUUCUUGUACAGCUGCAAAUGUUGUGUCUGGAACUAUGAAUCUAUGCUGUAGACAAGCAUCAAGAAGGAAAGAUCCGAUCAAAGAAGCAAGGAACAUACCUAGAGAAAUAGCGAACCCAGGAAGUCAGAUUUUUAAUGCUGCUUCUCUUUCUUUUUUAGAUGAUUAUAUUUCUUCCUUCCUUGAAUUUUAGAAGAUUUUGAAAGAGUGCUUACUUGAUGUGCUUUAACUCUGGCAUUUGUUUUUUAUGACAGGAGGAAAAAUCUGUGAUUCCUUGUAGCAGAAAAAAGGGAAAAGUGAAGGAAAAACAGCUUGACAUUUUAGCCUGUUUCAGAGGAGAGAGAACUUCAUGGUUCACCUGAGGCAAACUUAUCUGCUUGAAAGCUAAAAGCUUUAGAGCAUUUUUGAUUCUGCUAUAAAUGAAGAGGGGGUUUCUUUUUCAUUCGUGUGUGGCAGCAAAGAGUGGGAAAGCAGGCAAGAUAGCGUGAUAAACAGUUCAGGCUGUGUUGGGUCUCUGGUGGAAAAAAAGUGCUGCAAUGAAAAGUGGAUUGGCUUUGGAUUGCAAAAACUUUUGAGUCCAACGAGCGGUUCAGUACCAAGAGGGAUUUCCCAACUGGCCUGGCACACCAGUGCCUGCACAAGUUCGGGUCUGUUGUUUCGCACGGUUUGUGUGCCUUUUUUUCCCUUUAUGCAAUCUCUUUCAGCUUUAGCAGCAGAAAUACAUCAGAUGGAAAAGAUAUGCCAGAGGGCAGCUUGGAAAAGAUGAAUGUCAUAUAUAUACAUAUAUAUGUAUGUGCGUGUGUUUAAAUUUCUGCAACUGAACUUUGGAAGAAAAUCUGACUGGAGGAAAUCUUAAAAGCCUUAAGUUACUUGAAACCUACACAUUUGCAACUCUUUGUCUCUGGAAUUGCAUUACGCUAAACUGGAAUCUCAGGCUGUAUAAAGAUUAUAUCAAGUUGAGCAAAAAGAUGACUUAACCAUUUCUUGAGCGCCUCUUAUGAAGUAGCUGUUUCUCCAAAGGAUAAGUGCACCCUCACUCUACAGACUCAAACAAAAAUGAACCUGAAUUUUUUUUUAAGUGUUACUUUUUCUUAGCCAACUGCCAUCAUCUUUUAUAGAGGAAUUUUUCACUAUGCAUUUGGUGGAUAUUUAUAAACACUGACCCCAUCCUCCUCCCUUUCAAUGAUCUAUCCCAGGUCAGUCUUAUCAAUAAAAAAAAAAAAAAAAAAUUGAUUUAGAUUUUGUGCACUAGACAUAUUACUUUCUUAUGUCAAAAAAUAAAAUAUUUAAAAAGCA
ensembl:lncRNA